rnacentral:misc_RNA from 1 species
UUUCCGUAGGUGAACCUGCGGAAGGAUCAUUAGUGAAUAAUAGGACGUCUUUUCUUCGGAGGAGAGUCCGACCUCUCACUUUCUAACACUGUGCACUUAGAUAUUUGGGAAUCAAGCUUUGAAUAGAAUUUUUGUUCUAUUUCUAUAGCUCCCAAUUACUUUUUAUAACUCUACAAGUUAAAGAAUGUAAUGAUAAACCAUAACAAAAGAAAAACUUUCAACAACGGAUCUCUUGGCUCUC